rnacentral:rRNA from 1 species
UAGGGAAUCUUCCGCAAUGGACGCAAGUCUGACGGAGCAACGCCGCGUGAGUGAAGAAGGAUUUCGGAUCGUAAAGCUCUUUUGUUAAGGAAGAACGAGUGGGAGAAUGGAAAGUUCAUACUGUUACGGUACUUAACCCGAAAGGGACGGCCAACUACGUGCCAGCAGCCGCGGUAAUACGUAGGUCCCGAGCGUUGUCCGGAUUUAUUGGGCGUAAAGCGAGCGCAGGCGGUUAGAUAAGUCUGAAGUUAAAGGCCGUGGCUCAACCAUUGUAGGCUUUGGAAGCUGUUUAACUUGAGUGCAGAAGGGGAAGGUGGAAUUCCAUGUGUAGCGGUGAAAUGAGUAGAUAUAUGGAGGAACACCGGGGGCGAAAGCGGCUCUCUGGUCUGUAACUGACGCUGAGGCAAGAAAGCGUGGGGAGCGAACAGG